CCGCAAGGGCUUCUUGAUAUUAAUAGUGUUGGUGUCUUGAAACUGACGUAAUGCCUGGAGUCUGAGGUCCUGACAAGCGAUAACACUUCUGAUAAAGAACUGAGAUCACUGCAAAAAACCAACCUCCUUUUUUCCAUCCCAGACUCAGGCGUUUUUACUAUUAAACACAGUCUCCCAAGAUUUCACGUGUACGGGAGCAAUUCGCAAUCUUACAUCCCCAUAAAAAAAGAAAUCAUUCCCCGAGAUCAACAAACAAACAACACAAAGACGCUUCAUGGCUCACGCCAAAGCUCCACCAUCUUUCAGACUGCAAAGACUAUUGCAGUUUAAUCAACAGUGAUCGAGAGGAACGACAUGGUGUGGUCACCCCUUGUACUUCGGAUCAUCUGCACCUGUGAGGUCUUCUGAGAAAAGGAAGUACGGGACG